rnacentral:rRNA from 1 species
AUUGAACGCUGGCGGCAGGCCUAACACAUGCAAGUCGAGCGGCAGCGGGAAAGUAGCUUGCUACUUUUGCCGGCGAGCGGCGGACGGGUGAGUAAUGCCCGGGGAUCUGCCCAGUCGAGGGGGAUAACUACUGGAAACGGUAGCUAAUACCGCAUACGCCCUACGGGGGAAAGCAGGGGACCUUCGGGCCUUGCGCGAUUGGAUGAACCCAGGUGGGAUUAGCUAGUUGGUGAGGUAAUGGCUCACCAAGGCGACGAUCCCUAGCUGGUCUGGGAGGAUGAUCAGCCACACUGGAAAUGAGACACGGUCCAGACUCCUACGGGAGGCAGCAGUGGGGAAUAUUGCACAAUGGGGGAAACCCUGAUGCAGCCAUGCCGCGUGUGUGAAGAAGGCCUUCGGGUUGUAAAGCACUUUCAGCGAAGAGGAAAGGUUGGUAGCUAAUAACUGCCAGCUGUGACGUUACUCGCAGAAGAAGCACCGGCUAACUCCGUGCCAGCAGCCGCGGUAACAC